rnacentral:rRNA from 1 species
UACGUAGGGGGCAAGCGUUAUCCGGAUUUACUGGGUGUAAAGGGGGCGCAGACGGCCAUGGCAAGCCCGGUGUGAAAGGCAGGGGCAUAACCCCUGGACUGCACUGGGAACUGUCAGGCUGGAGUGCCGGAGGGGUAAGCGGAAUUCCUGGUGUAGCGGUGAAAUGCGUAGAUAUCAGGAGGAACACCAGUGGCGAAGGCGGCCUGCUGGGCUUUUACUGACGCUGAGGCUCGAAAGCGUGGGUAGCAAACAGG